UGCAGUCGAACGUGAAAGCACUUCGGUGUGAGUAGAGUGGCGGACGGGUGAGUAACGCGUGGGAAUCUACCCAGUAGUGGGGGACAACUACCGGAAACGGUGGCUAAUACCGCAUACGCCCUAUGGGGGAAAGGCUUCGGCCGCUAUUGGAUGAGCCCGCGUCAGAUUAGCUAGUUGGUAGGGUAAAGGCCUACCAAGGCAACGAUCUGUAGCUGGUCUGAGAGGACGAACAGCCACACUGGGACUGAGACACGGCCCAGACUCCUACGGGAGGCAGCAGUGGGGAAUAUUGGACAAUGGGCGAAAGCCUGAUCCAGCAAUGCCGCGUGUGUGAAGAAGGCCAGCGGGUUGUAAAGCACUUUCAGUUGGGAAGAUGAUGACGUUGCCAACAGAAGAAGCACCGGCUAAAUCCGUGCCAGCAGCCGCGGUAAUACGGAUGGUGCGAGCGUUAAUCGGAAUUACUGGGCGUAAAGCGCGCGUAGGCGGCUAAGUCAGUCAGAAGUGAAAGCCCCGGGCUCAACCUGGGAAUUGCUUUUGAUACUGCUUAGCUAGAGUUUGGUAGAGGAUAGUGGAAUUCCAGGUGUAGCGGUGAAAUGCGUAGAUAUCUGGAGGAACAUCAGUGGCGAAGGCGACUGCCUGGACCAAAACUGACGCUGA
rnacentral:rRNA from 1 species